rnacentral:rRNA from 1 species
UGGGGAAUCUUGCGCAAUGCGCGAAAGCGUGACGCAGCAACGCCGCGUGUGGGAAGACGGCCUUCGGGUUGUAAACCACUUUCAGUUGGGACGAAGGGUCAUCCGUGAACAGCGGCUUGACCUGACGGUACCUUCACAAGAAGCCCCGGCUAACUACGUGCCAGCAGCCGCGGUAAUACGUAGGGGGCAAGCGUUGUCCGGAAUCAUUGGGCGUAAAGCGCGUGUAGGCGGGUCGGUAAGUCUGCUCUGAAAGUCCAAGGCUCAACCUUGGGAUGCGGGUGGAUACUGCCGACCUCGAGUCCGGAAGAGGCGAGUGGAAUUCCUGGUGUAGCGGUGAAAUGCGCAGAUAUCAGGAGGAACACCAAUGGCGAAGGCAGCUCGCUGGGACGUGACUGACGCUGAGACGCGAAAGCGUGGGGAGCAAACAG